AAAAGGGGAGCUGAACGUGAUUUGGCUGAGAACAGACUGUAUUGUCUGGACCCGUAACCUGAUUUGGAUAAUGCCAACGUAGGGAUAUACUGAUG
rnacentral:ncRNA from 1 species